rnacentral:rRNA from 1 species
GAUGAACGCUGGCGGCGUGCCUAAUACAUGCAAGUCGAGCGAACAGACGAGGAGCUUGCUCCUCUGACGUUAGCGGCGGACGGGUGAGCAACACGAGGAUAACCCACCUACAAGACUGGGAUAACUUCUGGAAACCGGAGCUAAUAUCGUAUAAUAUAUUGAACCGCAUGGUUCAAUAGUGAAAGACGGUUUUGCCGCCACUUUUUGACGGAUCCGCGCCGCAUUAGCUAGUCGGUAAGGUAACGGCUUACCAAGGCAACGAUGCGUAGCCGACCUGAGAGAGUGAUCGGCCACGCUGGAACUGAGACACGGUCCAGACUCCUACGGGAGGCAGCAGUAGGGGAUCUUCCGCAAUGGGCGAAGGACUGUCGGAGCAACGCCGCGUAAGUGAGGAAGGUCUUCGGAUCGUGAAACUCUGUUAUUAGGGAGGAACAAAUGUGUAAGUAACUAUGCACGUCUUGACGGUACCUAAUCAGAAAGCCACGGCUAACUACGUG